GUCACUGCUAUCGGGGUUCGAUUAAGCCAUGCGAGUUGAGAGGGUUUAGACCCUCAGCGGACUGCUCAGUAACACGUGGAUAACCUGACCUAAGGUGGAGAAUAACCCCGGGAAACUGGGGAUAAUACUCCAUAGAUUAGAGAUACUGGAAUGUUCUCUAGUCGAAAGCUCCGGCGCCUUAGGAUGGAUCUGCGGUCGAUUAGGUUGUUGUUGGGGUAACGGCCCAACAAGCCUGUAAUCGAUACGGGUUGUGGGAGCAAGAGCCCGGAGAUGGAAUCUGAGACACGAUUCCAGGCCCUACGGGGCGCAGCAGGCGCGAAAACUUUACAAUGCAGGAAACUGUGAUAAGGGAACCCCGAGUGCCCGUAUACGCGGGCUGUCCAGGUGUUUAAAACGCAUCUGAAGAAAGGGCCGGGCAAGACCGGUGCCAGCCGCCGCGGUAAUACCGGCGGCUCGAGUGGUGGCCACUAUUAUUGGGCUUAAAGCGUCCGUAGCUGGACCCUUAAGUCUCUUGGGAAAUCCGCCGGCUUAACCGGCGGGCGUCUAGGAGAUACUGGGGGUCUAGGGACCGGGAGAGGUGAGAGGUACUCCGGGGGUAGGAGUGAAAUCCUGUAAUCCCCGGGGGACCACCGAUGGCGAAGGCAUCUCACCAGAACGGCUCCGACAGUGAGGGACGAAAGCUGGGGGAGCGAACCGGAUUAGAUACCCGGGUAGUCCCAGCCGUAAACUAUGCGCGUUAGGUGUACCGGUGACCACGAGUCACUGGGGUGCCGAAGGGAAACCGUGAAACGUGCCGCCUGGGAAGUACGGUCGCAAGGCUGAAACUUAAAGGAAUUGGCGGGGGAGCACUACAACGGGUGGAGCCUGCGGUUUAAUUGGACUCAACGCCGGAAAUCUCACCGGAUAAGACAGCGGAAUGAUAACCGGGCUGAAGACUCUGUUUGACCAGCUGAGAGGAGGUGCAUGGCCGUCGUCAGUUCGUACUGUGAAGCAUCCUGUUAAGUCAGG
rnacentral:rRNA from 1 species